GGUUAAGCGACUAAGCGUACACGGUGGAUGCCCUGGCAGUCAGAGGCGAUGAAGGACGUGCUAAUCUGCGAUAAGCGUCGGUGAGGUGAUAUGAACCGUUAUAACCGGCGAUUUCCGAA
rnacentral:rRNA from 1 species